UUAAAUUGAAGAGUUUGAUCAUGGCUCAGAUUGAACGCUGGCGGCAGGCCUAACACAUGCAAGUCGAACGGUAACAGGAAGCAGCUUGCUGCUUCGCUGACGAGUGGCGGACGGGUGAGUAAUGUCUGGGAAACUGCCUGAUGGAGGGGGAUAACUACUGGAAACGGUGGCUAAUACCGCAUAACGUCGCAAGACCAAAGAGGGGGACCUUCGGGCCUCUUGCCAUCAGAUGUGCCCAGAUGGGAUUAGCUUGUUGGUGAGGUAACGGCUCACCAAGGCGACGAUCCCUAGCUGGUCUGAGAGGAUGACCAGCCACACUGGAACUGAGACACGGUCCAGACUCCUACGGGAGGCAGCAGUGGGGAAUAUUGCACAAUGGGCGCAAGCCUGAUGCAGCCAUGCCGCGUGUAUGAAGAAGGCCUUCGGGUUGUAAAGUACUUUCAGCGGGGAGGAAGGUGUUGUGGUUAAUAACCGCAGCAAUUGACGUUACCCGCAGAAGAAGCACCGGCUAACUCCGUGCCAGCAGCCGCGGUAAUACGGAGGGCGCAAGCGUUAAUCGGAAUUACUGGGCGUAAAGCGCACGCAGGCGGUCUGUCAAGUCGGAUGUGAAAUCCCCGGGCUCAACCUGGGAACUGCAUUCGAAACUGGCAGGCUUGAGUCUUGUAGAGGGGGGUAGAAUUCCAGGUGUAGCGGUGAAAUGCGUAGAGAUCUGGAGGAAUACCGGUGGCGAAGGCGGCCCCCUGGACAAAGACUGACGCUCAGGUGCGAAAGCGUGGGGAGCAAACAGGAUUAGAUACCCUGGUAGUCCACGCCGUAAACGAUGUCUACUUGGAGGUUGUGCCCUUGAGGCGUGGCUUCCGGAGCUAACGCGUUAAGUAGACCGCCUGGGGAGUACGGCCGCAAGGUUAAAACUCAAAUGAAUUGACGGGGGCCCGCACAAGCGGUGGAGCAUGUGGUUUAAUUCGAUGCAACGCGAAGAACCUUACCUGGUCUUGACAUCCACAGAAGAAUCCAGAGAUGGAUUUGUGCCUUCGGGAACUGUGAGACAGGUGCUGCAUGGCUGUCGUCAGCUCGUGUUGUGAAAUGUUGGGUUAAGUCCCGCAACGAGCGCAACCCUUAUCCUUUGUUGCCAGCGAUUAGGUCGGGAACUCAAAGGAGACUGCCAGUGAUAAACUGGAGGAAGGUGGGGAUAACGUCAAGUCAUCAUGGCCCUUACGACCAGGGCUACACACGUGCUACAAUGGCGCAUACAAAGAGAAGCGACCUCGCGAGAGCAAGCGGACCUCAUAAAGUGCGUCGUAGUCCGGAUUGGAGUCUGCAACUCGACUCCAUGAAGUCGGAAUCGCUAGUAAUCGUGGAUCAGAAUGCCACGGUGAAUACGUUCCCGGGCCUUGUACACACCGCCCGUCACACCAUGGGAGUGGGUUGCAAAAGAAGUAGGUAGCUUAACCUUCGGGAGGGCGCUUACCACUUUGUGAUUCAUGACUGGGGUGAAGUCGUAACAAGGUAACCGUAGGGGAACCUGCGGUUGGAUCACCUCCUUACCUUAAAGAA
rnacentral:rRNA from 1 species